CUGGGCCUCCUCAAGGAGCAGAUCGUGUUCCUGGAUCACACCGAUCGCUGCGAGAAGUUCAGAGACUAGGGCCAUUGGCACCAGUGACAGCCCCUCCAGAGCCUGCAGGAAUUCCACCAGAGCACGCACCUGGGCUUCUGCCGUGCGGUGCCCUCCCGGCCCUGCCCGGGCCCAGGACCCCACCAC